UGCGCCCCACGUCCAAAAAAUUUAGUGAAGGGCUAAUGCCCUUCACUCAUAUGGCCAGGUGGCCAUUUAGUGUAAGUGGCCGAAUGGCCUCUUUAAUAAGAGGUCAGUGCAUGUAAAAAAAAAAAAAUGAGUUAAGCUUCUUCAUUUUCUUUUUAGAACAGGGGCUUAUCUUUCAUUUUUUCUCUUUUGGAUUUUCAUAGAAAAACUACGAUCUACGAAGAUCUAACUGUCCAAUCUUAGAUUUGAUUUCGGUAACGUAAUCUUUGAAGCCCGAUCUACGUUUGGACCGAACGUUUUGAGAUUUUGUGUGGUUUGGAGUUACUAGGAGCCUCCCGAGCAUUGGGUCUUGGCGUGGUGAAUAUUUGCGGCACUUUACGGUUGAGCUUAGAUUCGUUUGGAUAUUGGGAGUACAAACGAUUUGAGGUACUCCUAAGGCGGAUGAUGAUCCGGUAGCAUACUAUUUGGGUUACUACGAUUGAAGCCCGUAACGACAGUUGUAGUGGGAUAGGACUAUGGUGUCCUUAUUUUGAGUGCCUUUGUAUAUGGCUUGUAACAUAUGUGUCACUUAUUAUUUUGUAUAAGCCAUUCUUUUGUAAUAGUUAUAUGUAGUUAAGCCUUAAACAAAUAGACUUGUGCUAUGGCUCACUUUUGUAUAGAUAACAGAUUUAUUUAUAGUUAUGCUU